CCUACGGGAGGCAGCAGUGAGGAAUAUUGGUCAAUGGGCGCGAGCCUGAACCAGCCAAGUCGCGUGAAGGAUGACUGCCCUACGGGUUGUAAACUUCUUUUAUAAGGGAAUAAAGUGAGGCACGUGUGCCUUUUUGUAUGUACUUUAUGAAUAAGGAUCGGCUAACUCCGUGCCAGCAGCCGCGGUAAUACGGAGGAUCCGAGCGUUAUCCGGAUUUAUUGGGUUUAAAGGGAGCGUAGAUGGGUUGUUAAGUCAGCUGUGAAAGUUUGCGGCUCAACCGUAAAAUUGCAAUUGAAACUGGCAGGCUUGAGUACAUUUGAGGUAGGCGGAAUGCGUGGUGUAGCGGUGAAAUGCUUAGAUAUCACGAAGAACUCCGAUUGCGAAGGCAGCUUACUAAGCUGCCACUGACACUGAUGCACGAAAGUGUGGGGAUCAAACAGGAUUAGAUACCCCGGUAGUC
rnacentral:rRNA from 1 species